CUACGGGCGGCAGCAGUAGGGAAUCUUAGACAAUGGGAGAAACCCUGAUCUAGCCAUGCCGCGUGAGUGAUGAAGGCCUUAGGGUUGUAAAGCUCUUUCGCUGGGGAAGAUAAUGACGGUACCCAGUAAAGAAACCCCGGCUAACUCCGUGCCAGCAGCCGCGGUAAUACGGGAGGGGGUUAGCGUUGUUCGGAAUUACUGGGCGUAAAGCGCGCGUAGGCGGGCUAUUAAGUCAGGGGUGAAAUCCCGGGGCUCAACCCCGGAACUGCCUUUGAUACUGGUAGUCUUGAGUUCGAGAGAGGUGAGUGGAAUUCCGAGUGUAGAGGUGAAAUUCGUAGAUAUUCGGAGGAACAUCAGUGGCGAAGGCGACUCACUGGCUCGAUACUGACGCUGAGGUGCGAAAGUGUGGGGAGCAAACAGGAUUAGAUACCCCUGUAGUU
rnacentral:rRNA from 1 species